rnacentral:lncRNA from 1 species
GGGCAACAUGGCAAAAGCCCUUCUCUACUGGAUAAUGGUGCACUUGAAAUUUCACAAUCAAUACGUUUUGCUGGUAACUUUAAAAAACCUGACCUAAGAGAUCCUUUAGUGCACCCAAUGGGUGACUUUGUCAACAUCCCUAAUACAACUGUUGUUCUCUGUCUGCUCUACUUUAAUUCAACCCACCCAUGGGAUGCCAUGUAAUAAAAUUGCUCUAUAUUAUCUAUUGUUUAAGUAAAUAAAUAUAUGUGCUAUUGCUAAUACUACAUACUGUACCUAGAUAUAUUCCUCUGGGAAAAUUAAGACCCAUAUAUACAAAAUAAGAAAACAGGUCACAUAGUUACAACAAGUCUCACCUAAUCCCC